ACUGCAUCUAAAAUAUAUAUCUGAAAAAAACUUAAUAUGCGUUUGAGAAAGGUCUAAAAUGUAAUUGUUGUCUAAUAUGUGGGAUUAAAAGUCACUUCAUUUAUAUAAAAAGAUUUUUUAUAAAUAUUAAGAUAUGAAAGACAACCCUCUUUACAGAUAGUUGCUCUGAUAGUAUAUUAGAAUACAUUUGGUGUUGUAUUUCGUAGUAUACUAGAAUACACUUGGUGUUGUAUUUUAAAAGUAUCAAGAAUGAAGAGAGAUUAUCAUCUUGUAACAUUUAUUUGUUUACUUACGAUUGUGAGUGCUGGUAGGGAGAUCAACUCACACAAUAAAUGUUUAUUUUUCAAGGGUACUUUUUUAAAUAAUAGAAUCUUGUCAAAUGUUGAUUUGGGUUACACGUAUAUUUCUUCAUGUCAAAGAACAAGUAACAGUGAUGGUGAUUGGGUAAAGAUCAUGUCGUCCUCAACUUGGUAUGAAAAGCCUGCAGGAAAUGGAAAUAUCUAUAUAUGUGUUGAACGUGUAGACAUUUGUUUGGGCCUAGACAUUAAUUGGGCUAAGUUGCGAAUUGAAGCCGUCGCAAAAAAGUUUAACGAAAAAGACAUCGCUCAACAAUGGAAACUUGAAAAUAAAAAAUUGACUAACGCUGAAAUGACUCCAUUAUUUUGUGCAGAAUUUCAAGAUAACUUGGUUAUGAGAAAAUGCAAGCUUAAUGAACCCAAUCAAAUAAUUGACUUUUUUACGGCGGUUUUGUAAUGAAAGUAUUUUGAAAAUUACGAUUCAAAACUUUUA